GAAUCUUAGCUCGUCUAGCAAAGUUUUGAGUGUAGUACAAAACUAGAUUAAAAUUAACAACACUGACUAAGCAUGUAGAGUCAUAGUUCUAGCUAUUUUAGGACAGGGGUUCAAUUCCCCUCACCUCCACCA
rnacentral:tmRNA from 1 species